AUUGAACGCUGGCGGCAGGCCUAACACAUGCAAGUCGAGCGGAUGAAUGGUGCUUUCUCCUGGAUUCAGCGUCGGACGGGUGUGUAAUGCCUAUGAAUCUGCCUGGUAGUUUUUGAUAACGUCCGUAAACGGGCGCUAAUACCGCAUACGUCCUGAGGUAGAAAGUUUGUGAUCUUCUGACCUCACGCUAUCAUAUGAGCCUAGGUCGGAUUAGCUAGUUGGUUGGGUAAAGGCCUACCAAGGCGACGAUCCGUAACUGGUCUGAGAGGAUGAUCAGUAACACUGGAACUGAGAAACGGACCAGACUCCUACGGGAGGCAGCAGUGGGGAAUAUUGGACAAUGGGCGAAAGAAUGAUACAGCAAUGCCGCGUGUGUGAAGAAGGUCUUCGGAUUGUAAAGAACUUUAAGUUGGGAGGAAGGGAAGUAAGAUAAAAAAUUGAUGUAGUGACGUUAACAACAGAAUAAGCAACGGCUAACUACGUG
rnacentral:rRNA from 1 species